rnacentral:rRNA from 1 species
UACGUAGGGGGCGAGCGUUGUCCGGAUUUAUUGGGCGUAAAACGCUUGUAGGUGGCUACGUCAAGUCGGACGUGAAAUCUCCCGGCUUAACUGGGAGGGGUCGCUCGAUACUGGCGAGCUCGAGGCAGGUAGGGGGAAGCGGAAUUCCCGGUGUAGUGGUGGAAUGCGUAGAUAUCGGGAGGAACACCAGUGGCGAAGGCGGCUUCCUGGACCUGUUCUGACACUGAGGAGCGAAAGCGUGGGGAGCGAUCCGGAUUAGAUACCCGGGUAGUCCACGCCGUAAACGGUGAGCACUAGGUGUCGGGGGUAUCGACCCCUCCGGUGCCGCAGCUAACGCAUUAAGUGCUCUGCCUGGGGAGUACGGCCGCAAGGCUAAA